rnacentral:rRNA from 1 species
UACGUAGGUGGCAAGCGUUGUUCGGAAUUACUGGGCGUAAAGGGCGCGUAGGCGGCACGGCAAGUCAGGAGUGAAAGCCCUGGGCUCAACCCGGGAACUGCUUUUGAAACUGCCGAGCUAGAGUGCGGAAGGGGCAACUGGAAUUCCCAGUGUAGCGGUGAAAUGCGUAGAUAUUGGGAAGAACACCUGAGGCGAAGGCGGGUUGCUGGGCCGACACUGACGCUGAGGCGCGAAAGCCAGGGGAGCAAACGGG